rnacentral:tRNA from 1 species
UCUCUGGUGGUCCAGAGGCUAAGACUCUGUGCUCCCAAUGCAGGGGCCCAGGUUCGAUUCCUGGUCAAGAAA